GGCCCCAUGGUCUAGUGGUCUAGGACGCCUGGUUCUCAGCCAGGAGGACGGGGGUUCGAAUCCCCCUGGGGCUACCA
rnacentral:tRNA from 6 species